AUGGAGGUGCUGGAGCUGCGAACCUUCCGGGACCUUCAGUACGUGCGGAACACGGAGGCGCCGCUGCGGGGCCUGGAGGCGCGGCUGCAGCGCGAGGGGCAGCGGGCCCUGAGCGCCCGCGGCUUCCAGGUGACAAAUUCCCCUUUUUUCACCCCAAAAAUUCCAAUUUUACAGCCCAAAAAAUUCCCAAUUUUCGUCCCAAAAAAAUCACAAUUAUCCAGCGCAAAAAUUCUCAAAUUUUGUCCCAAAAAUUCCCAAUUUUCGGCCCAAAAAUCCAAUUUUUUAUCCCAAAAAUUCGCAAUUUUCGUCCCAAAAAAUCCAAAUUUUCAGCCCAAAAAUUCCAAUUUUCAUCCCAAAAAUUCUCAAUUUUCACCCCAAAAUUUCCCAAUUUUUAGCCCAAAAAUUCCCAGUUCCCAGCCCAAACUUCUCAAUUUUCACCCCAAAAAUCCCCAGUUUUCAGCCCAAAAAUCCCAAUUUUUUUGUCCCAAAAAUCCCAAUUUUAAUCCCAAAAAUCCCCAUUUUCCAGCCCAAAAUUUCCCAAUUUCCAGCCCAAAAUUUCCCAAUUUCCAGCCCAAAAUUUCUCACUUUUCAGCCCCAAAAUCUCAAAUUUCAGCCCAAAAAUCCCCAGUUCCCAGCCCUUUUCCCCCAGAUUUAUUCCACAUUUUGCCCUGGUUUAUUCCAUAUUUUCCCCUAAUUUAUUCCGUAUUUCCCCCUCAUUUAUUCCACAUUUCCCCUCAUUUAUUCCAUAUUUUCCCCUCAUUUAUUCCAUAUUUCCCCUCAUUUAUUCCACAUUUUCCCCCAUUUAUUCCAUAUUUUCCCCCCAUUUAUUCCACAUUUUCCCCUGGUUUAUUCCACAUUUUCCCCUCCCGUGUUCCCCCCGCGGCUGCAGCGCGAGGGGCAGCGCGCCCUGAGCGCCCGCGGCUUCCAGGUGACAAAUUCCCCUUUUUUCACCCCAAAAAUUCCACAUUUUCACCCCAAAAAUUCCCAAUUUUACACCCCAAAAAAUCCAGAUUUUCAUCCUGA
rnacentral:lncRNA from 1 species